rnacentral:rRNA from 1 species
GUUGAUAGGUCUGAGGUGGAAGUGUGGCGACACAUGGAGCUGACAGAUACUAAUCGAUCGAGGACUUAACCAAUUU